AUACAAAUAGUAUAGAAAAUAUAUUAGACUUAGAUUCUAAAGAGAGAGAUGUAUU
rnacentral:tRNA from 1 species